AAUUAUUUUUACGCGCGACGCGAAAUCCGCGGUAACACGGCCGCUGCAGUUUUUCGUCACACGCGCGAGUUGAACUUUGAACCGCGCGACUUUCUAUCGUCCGUGUCUCGGACCACGACCCGGUUUCGGUCGUCCUACCGAUAUUACUUGCAUCGUCGCGUUAUCAUUUCACAAAUCCGAAAUUUAUAAUCAAUCGAAAAGCCAAAUUUUCAUUUUUAUGUAUACACUUAUGCGUAUUGACUACACAAAAAAAGGAUUUUUCGUAUUUUUGUUUUUCCCUACGCUACUAAUAUACAUAUAUAUAUAUACAGUGAUAACUAAUUUAUAUAUAUAUAUAUAUAUUCUAAAGACUAAUUUAAUAAUUUAAAAUGGUACACGCGUGUUACUUGUGCAGCGCAAUUGUGGCCGACGGCGUCAGUCUACACAAAUUUCCCAGCGAUGUCGAAAGGACCCAAAGGUGGUUGGCGUUCGUAGCGACGUGCGGUUACGAUCCGGCGGCCGUAAACUUGCGGAGCGCUUUCAUUUGUUCCAGGCACUUUGACCCUGUCAACGACUACGGUCGCAACGCAGUCCGCAGAGUGCUCAUUCGCAACGCUGUGCCCACCGUGAUUGUCGCCAAUCCUGAAGCAGCUCGACCCUCUCAGUCGGACGUAAAACAGUUCCAUACAGUCUAUAUUUUAAUAAUUGCGUUCGCGGGAUCUGAUGGUUUUUAUGAUUGUUUCAAACGUGUAAUCCCUAACCGAAUCGAUUCGUGGGGGGAGGGUCAGUAUUGAUAUGUUCACGGGGUUUGGCCGGUCUCCAAUUUAUUUACAACCAUCAGAUUCCGUAUCCGCGUGUUGUCCAAUCGCAAUUGUUAAGGUGUGUAACAAAUAGUGAUGUGCCACAAGAAAUAUUCCCCAGGGAACGUUCCUGGAAAUAAGGAAUAUUCCGGAAAUAUUCUAUUACCACUCGGGAAUAUUUCUUUAAUAACAACUAAUACAUUUUAUUUAUUAUAAUUACUAAAGUAUGGCAGUGCUAGUGAAAGAGACAACGAUAUUGUAUUUAUAUCUUGAUUACAUUGAUAUGUUUAUCAACAUAUUAUUGAUAAGCAAUAUAUUAGGGCUUAGAUUAAAAUUGAUUAUAGUAGUAUCGUUUUUCACAGUUAUUUUAUUUGUUAUUUUACUUUUCAAAAUACUUUUAAAAUGCCGGCAGGUAAAAAUAUUCGAAUUGUUGGUCUUAUUUUAACGAAAGAUUAGUUAACUUCAAUGAAAGAAUGUAAAUUAUCAUUACAAACAUUAGCUGUUCAUGCUGUUGGCUCUUCUAUGAUAGGAAUAAACAGAAAUAAAUUAAUUUUAGAUGAUGCAGUAUUUCGGACUAAAAUCGAUAAACUUAUUAAUUUACUUAACCCUAUUGUAAAAUGGAUUACAAUUUUAGAAGGGGACAGCAAUAUAAUUAAUCAUGUAUUUGAUGCUUUUUAUGAAAUUCAAAAUACUUUUUGUAGUUAUAUCUCAGAAUCACUGAUUAUUUCUACUAAAAAAGUGCAAAUAAUACUGAAUAAGUUUAAAGAAAGACAUUUAAAUACUAUUAAACCUCUACACUUAGCUGCAUCUUUGUUGGAUCCCAAAACUCAAGGGUGUAAUUUAUCAAAUUCAGAAGUAUUAAAAGCUAUUGAGUUUAUUGAUCAAAUGAUAUCUAUACAAAAUAAUAUGACUGAUUCUCUUAAAAUGGAUGGUGCUCAAAUAAUAGCUGAUAUAGCAAAUUACAGAUCUCGACAAGAUAUAUGAAGCAAUAAUUUUAUUUGGAAAUGUGUGGAGAAAAUAAGUCCUUUAAUAUGGUGGAAGAGUUUUUGUUCAAGUACUCAUUUAUGUAUUAUUGCAAAAAAAAUAUUAAUUGUUCCUGCUACAUUAGCAGCCACUGAACGUUCAUUUAGCACAUUCUCAAAUAUUCACACAAAAAAAGGAACCGUUUAACAACAUCAAAUGCUUCAAAAAUAACUUUUGUUGCCCAUUAUUGGAGACAAAAUAUAGAAUAGAAUAAAAAAGUUACUUAUGUUAAUUAUGAAGGCGAACCCCGUGAACCUAAUGAAAUGGAUAAAAAUACACUUAAUAUAUCAAUUGUGUCAGAUGAAAAUUCAAUGUCAAUUGAUGGUUUAAUUUCGUCCGACGAUGAAGAGUGGUGUCCUAGUGACAGUGACAAUGAUUUCUUUAAUGAGUAUUUAAAACAAAAAGAAAUAAGUUAUCUUGUUGUUAUUUACAUUUAUAAGUAAACAUUUAUGUUAAUAAAGUUAUCCUUUGCUUUUAUUACUUUUGAAAAACCUGGAAAAUGUGAACAAAAAAUAACGUAUUAAAUUUGGUAACUUGUUUAAGCAUUUUAUAGGCAUCAUAGACUAUGAUGCCUAUAAAAUGAUUCAUAGCAUACAGUUAAUUUGAAAUAUAAACAGUGAAAAGUAUAACAGAAUCAAAAAUUAUAAUUAGUUAUAAAAUAUUUAAAAUUCCUAAUGUUUCAACAUAAAAUUUCA